CAGAAUGUUUGGAAGUUAGAUGGGUCAAUAGCUGCAUUUUGUGGUUUAUGUAUCAAUUUAUGUAAAUAAUUUAGUCGAUUAAGGAAAUGAUUUGAAUUGUUUAUGGAAAUCAAUUGGUUGAUUUAUGUUAAUAAUUUGUUUUUUUUUUGCAGUUUGAGAUAUUUUCCUAAACCCAGUGAUGGACGAGAGUGAGUUCGGUGAAGAUGAUCCAAAUCCAGAAGCCAGAGAGACCUCCUCCAUGAGCUGCAAAACAACAGGGGACAAUGAGGAGGGGGAAUAGGGGUACAGACAGCCUGGAGCCGGUAGAAAAUACGGUAG